UUCAGAUCUAAAAGGCAAGAAGACAGUUUUUGCCAUUAUUGAAAGACAUAGGAAAAAAACCAUGACAGAACACAAAUAUCACCAUACCGUCUUGUCUUGAAUGUUUCCAACAGCUGACAGUCCGAUGUAAGCCAGAUUCACAAGUAAGAAGUAUCUGCAGAAGAAAGAACCAAUUAUGGUAGAUCCACGACAGUCCUGGCACAAGCUUUGUUGAGAUUAGAUAUAAACUAACAUGUAUAUAAUUAUACAUUCAUGUACAAAGUACACGGGAUUAUAUUGGAGUCACACAUGUCAGCGAGUCCGUUCGUCCGUUCGCCUAUCUGUCCAUCAUGUCCGCUGGGAAGAUUUAAAAAAAUGGCUUCAUUUAUUAGCCUCAACAAGAAUGUUCGUUGUGCACAACCCAAGUUACUAGGCCCAAGGUCAGUAUUACUCUUGGAGGACAAAGAUCAAAUAACUUUAAUUUAGUGUCCGCUCCAUAUUGUCUUAACUGCAACGAAUAUUUAGGUCAAGAAUUCGUUAUUGUAACCGCCCUGCCUUCAGGGUCACUGUCACCGUUGCAUUCAGGUUAAACUUUUAUAUGAUUCUCAAAAUCAUAUAUUUUCUUAACUACUGCCCAUAUUAGCAUCAACCUUCACAUUUGUUGAUUGUGGUAAAACGCAGACAUUUAAUUGUUAGGGGUCAAGCAUCCAAAAGGUCAAAGAAAAGUAUUUUGUAAUUGUGCUGGUUAAAUCUUAGAUUGUUUCUUAUAAUUUCUCAUUCACCCACCCCUACCCCCUAUCUUACCCCCAAAAGGAAAAGAAUCUUAUUCAUCACUCACGCUUACUUAUAUCCUAUAGCAGUAAAUAUUGGUCAGCAUUUCCGAAUAGUCACGCGGGCUUUCCUUACAAUAGUUCUUGAUAUAAAAUUAGGAUUAGUAAAUAGAUGUAGAACACAACCUAGUUCAUUCGGUCAAAGGUCAAGUUCUGACUUAAAAGACCGCACCAUAUUGUCUAAUCUAAUAAAGUAAGCACUAACUGUCAAUUCCAUCUAGCCACUAGGUUAAAGGUCAGUGUGACACAUAUGAGGUCAAAGGUCAAAUAGCUUUGUGUCUGCUACAUAUCUUGUAACCCCAUUUUCCAUACACUCAUAAAACUAGCAAUAAAUAUCAAGAAGACCUGUAUAGAACCCAGAUUAUUAGAUCCAAGGUCAAGGUUACGCUUGAAUGUCAAAAUGAUGACAACAUUGACUUACCCUGCAUCAAAGCAGCGUCUGGGGGUAACAAUAGCUCUAGUUUAUCAUUUUUAGCGGACUAAAUUUGUAAUUAUAUCAACCAUUUGACAAAUAUUUCCUAAACUUUAGGAUAAAUAUUUAAAACAAAAAUCAGGAAAUUGUUUGGGUUUUUUUAACACUGAUACAGUCGGACUAUUUUUAGACACAGCGAAUAUUUUAGCUUGAUUUGUUGUCAGUCAUGAUUUUAUGCAAGGUAUUUUUCUAAAUGAUAUUUUUAUUACAAAUACAAAAUGUAGCACAUUUGACAUUAAUGUAAAAAAGCAGGGACAGCGAAUUUUGUAAGAAAAAAAAUGUAGUUGGUUAAAUAUUUCAAAAAGUGUCUCAAAUUUUUGCUCUUUUGAACAGUUGCGUUUUAACUGGUCGGGGAUUGUUUCAAAAAUAAAUACAAUGUAUGCGUAGUUUAGUUGAUGUAUAAAAAGCUACUUUUUGCAACUUGUACAUUUUGGAGUGGGGGCUAAAUUCCAAACCCUCAUAUAGUUUAAAACAUAUAGAGGACAUUCCUUUGCUUCAGUGUAAGCUCGAAACAGAAACAUUCUAGUGUUCACACGUGAAAAUUUUUAAAAAGUAAUCACACGGAUUUUAUUCUAAUGCAUUUUAUUAUUAUUUUUACUUUAUAUUUUCUGCCAACGUAACGCCAUACGCUAUGUGCAACGUUACUCUACAUUUUAUGGCAAUACUUAUGUUGGAAAAAAGUGACAUAGUGACAUUUCAAUCUACAUGUAGUUAUGUUUUAGUUAAAAAGAUAUCCGAUUCUACGUUAUUCAUAUUCUUGCGUUAAACUGUGGUUACAUACAAGUGAAAAUUGUAUUUGGAUUUCUCACCUUUUAAGAGCGGCUUUAUCAGGGUAUAAUGCAUCGUCGUUUUCUUGAAAUCUUCUCAAAAUAUGGUAUAUAAUUCCAUAUGCUAGUAACUGCAGAAUGUACCGAUAAGACCUUAAUUCUUUUAUUCAAAUCCGCAUUCUAGUCCUUUGUCUGGGUCAUUUUAAUGUUGCUUUUAAAAGUCAUUUUGGCCUCAUUUUUGUACACUGAAUUUUACACACUGUUUGGCAUAACUUUUAACCAACACCUAACUCUGAGCACUAACCUUAACCAUUCGGGGCUGAAGUGACUGUUAAAGCAACUUUGUCUUUUAUGGGAACAAGACUAGCAUAUCUUUAUAAAUGAUGGGUGAAAAUUGUUGGCAAACUUUCAGGUUUUUGGUCUACGCUUUUAAUGAAGUACUGUAAUAAAACGUUAGAUUAUAACAUGAUAAAUUCAUUGUUUUAAACAGAGAGAAAUAUGAUGUUCACUAGAACGGAACUACAUUUGAACGCGAAAGGAUAUGAAUUGUAAGGACGUGAAAUAUGCUUAAAAGCAACAAAGCUGUAUAGUAA